rnacentral:rRNA from 1 species
AUGCAAAGAACUUUGAAAAGAGAGUUAAAGAGUACCUGAAAUUGCUGAAAGGGAAGCGAAGGAAACCAGUGCUUAUUCUAUGCCAUUCUUCUUCUGUUGCUUGCGACAGAAGCGCUGUGGUUUAGUAUGGGCCAGCAUGGGUUUGACUCGGAGGAAAUGGCUUUGUGGGAGGUAGGUUCUUUUCGAACUGAAGACCACUUUGUUCUACUCUGGGUUGGAUCGAGGAUAGUCACUUGUGCUCGUGAUGCUGGCGAAAUGGUUUUCUUUACCCCGUCUUGAAACACGGACCAAGGAGUCUAACAUAUGUGCGAGUAUAGGGGUGGCAAACCCCCAUGCGAAAUGAAAGUAACAGUGGUUGGACCUUCUGGGGCACAAUCCGCCGGCCACAAUCCUUCGGGAGAAAGGUCUGAGUGUGAGCAUACAUGUUGGGACCCGAAAGGUGGUGAACUAUGCCUGAAUAGGGUGAAGCCAGGGGAAACUCUGGUGGAGGCUCGUAGCGAUUCUGACGUGCAAAUCGAUCGUCAAAUUUGGGUAUAGGGGCGAAAGACUAAUCGAACCACCUAGUAGCUGGUUCCCUCCGAAAUUUCCCUCAGGAUAGCUGCAAUCGAAUGUCAAUUUUAUCA